rnacentral:rRNA from 1 species
UACAGGGGGGGCAAGCGUUGUUCGGAAUUACUGGGCGUAAAGGGCUCGUAGGUGGCCAACUAAGUCAGACGUGAAAUCCCUCGGCUUAACCGGGGAACUGCGUCUGAUACUGGAUGGCUUGAGUUUGGGAGAGGGAUGCGGAAUUCCAGGUGUAGCGGUGAAAUGCGUAGAUAUCUGGAGGAACACCGGUGGCGAAGGCGGCAUCCUGGACCAAUACUGACACUGAGGAGCGAAAGCCAGGGGAGCAAACGGG